rnacentral:rRNA from 1 species
AGACGGAGGGUCCUAGCGUUGUUCGGAAUAACUGGGCGUAAAGGGUACGUAGGCGGUUUGGUCAGUUAGAUGUGAAAGCCCAGGGCUCAACCUUGGAACUGCAUUUAAUACUGCCAGACUUGAGAUCGGAAGAGGAAAGCGGAAUUCUUAGUGUAGAGGUGAAAUUCGUAGAUAUUAGGAGGAACAUCAGAGGCGAAGGCGGCUUUCUGGUCCGAUACUGACGCUGAGGUACGAAAGCGUGGGGAGCAAACAGGAUUAGAAACCCCAGUAGUCC